GAUGAAGAACGUAGCGAAAUGCGAUAAGUAAUGUGAAUUGCAGAAUUCAGUGAAUCAUCGAAUCUUUGAACGCACAUUGCGCCCGCCAGCACUCUGGCGGGCAUGCCUGUUCGAGCGUCAUUUCAACCAUCAAGCCCCCAGGGGCUUGUGCUGGGGCCCUGCGGCUGCCCGCAGGCCCUGAAAACCAGUGGCGGGCUCGCUAUCACACCGAGUGCAGUAGUUUACUCUUCGCUCAGGGCGUGUGGCGGGUGCUAGCCGUGAAACCCCCAACUUCUCAAGGUUGACCUCGGAUCAGGUAGGAAUACCCGCUGAACUUAAGCAUAUCAAUAAGCGGAGGA
rnacentral:misc_RNA from 1 species